CCGGAUAACAUCACAACAAUACACUUGUCAUGAGGCUGGGAAAAAAUGCAGGUAUACAUGCAAACACAAAAAGAUGUGGACAAAUGAAUAUAGCUAGAUACAUUGUUCCAUGAGAUAUUACAACAUUCAAUCAUGUUACAUUUAUCUAAAUGAGCUCUGCUGAAGUUUCCUAAUAACACACAUGGUGCAUCCACUUUCUUUUCCCAAAUAAAUCAAGGGUCCUUCCAAGGCUGUUUAAACAGUAAAAUAUAUAUCAAAUAAAAAAACUUUCACAACUAUAUAAUAUAGACGUACAAAACAGAGUAUUUACUUACUAAUACUCCGAGCUCAUGAAACUUUUUAGCAUCGUGUCACCUGUUUAGAUAUGGUUUAGAUAGAGAAUGGUUGAAAAGAGUGAGAGAAUACACACCACUACAUAGAACAAAAACAGCUAGAUGACGCACCUAUGAGGCUAUGAUAACCAUUGUUUGCAAGUACAUCACACCAACGUCCAAUGGGGUUCUAUACAUGUAUUUUAGAUAUUAGAUGAAUUUAAAGUGCAGCUAAAAGAGUACAAAAAAAUAAUAGUGUAAAUAAAAUGCUAUGGAAAAUAUUAUUAAUGAUGCAGCUAUGAUAGCCAAUGGUAUUAACUACAUCGCUAAGAAUAGCGUGAACAAAUUAAUAUGAAGAUACUACACUAAUCUCUCACUGAUCUCUUGCAAAUAAUGGUCACUGAAAUUGAUGUGCCAUGACUCUGACACAAGAACCGGAAACCGCAACUUUAAGCUAAGUUUUUUUGUUAGGCCCCUGGAGCUCCUCAUGGUAGCAAACAACCAAGUACGAAGGCCAAAUCCUUCUAUGUUUAUUUAACUCAAAAUUUUCCCAUGUCUAUUUUUCCCCCACAAGUAAAAUUCUACAGCUCUAGGUAGCAAGGAACCUAGGGAGGAACCGAAGUACAUUCAUCCUUUUCUAAUUCAUAUUGAACGGGCAAUCUUGGACAUCAUGAGUUCAAAUAACAUCAGAUAGAAUACAAAAUCUAUAAACACUAAAAAAAUUGAGGUGACCGCAGAAACAUGUUUGCACUCUCACUUGGACCUCCACCUCAUCUUGAAUCCUGGAACAUAACAUGGUGUAGGUAACACUACUGGGACUCCAACUAAUAAAAGUUUUGGGACCCCUUUUUUUGCAGUUAUUACAAACAUUAAAUACAUAAUAAAUUUCAAUGUUCAGGAGCAUAGCUGCAGCAACUAUAUACAGGUCCAUGACUGAAAUUAGCUCAAUGCUACACAUAUAAACAUGGGUUUUAUUUGCUAAAUAAUCAUUGAUUUGGCACCUUAGUUUUCAGUAGGCCAGUGUCCAAAAGCUUAUCAAACAUGCAUAUCAUCGGCUACAAAAUUCUUGCACUAAAAUCAGGACCAUAAUGGCAUAAUUUCUUGCACGCUCUAGCAUCAUUGUAAUUCCAGUGGACACGUACUUACCAAAUGAUGAAUCAAUAUAGUGGCACACUGGAACAUGGUUUCUAAUUUUAUGCUGCUCCAUCUCCCACUACUGCCUCCAUCUGCACGACCCCACACAUCACACAACUCCUCCUUCAGCUGCAGCUGUACGUAUGUUGUUACCUGUGCCGCAUAGUAGGACUGCUUCGGCUAGGACCUGAAGCCGAGUUACAUGUAACUAUGUGCGGAAGCUAGGCUAAUUGAUGGUUCAU
rnacentral:lncRNA from 1 species